AUGAACGCUGGCGGCGUGCCUAAUACAUGCAAGUCGAGCGAACGGACGAGAAGCUUGCUUCUCUGAUGUUAGCGGCGGACGGGUGAGUAACACAUGGAUAACCUACCUAUAAGACUGGGAUAACUUCGGGAAACCGGAGCUAAUACCGGAUGAUAUUUUGAACCGCAUGGUUCAAAAGUGAAAGACGGUCUUGCUGUCACUUAUAGAUGGAUCCGCGCUGCAUUAGCUAGUUGGUAAGGUAACGGCUUACCAAGGCAACGAUGCAUAGCCGACCUGAGAGGGUGAUCGGCCACACUGGAACUGAGACACGGUCCAGACUCCUACGGGAGGCAGCAGUAGGGAAUCUUCCGCAAUGGGCGAAAGCCUGACGGAGCAACGCCGCGUGAGUGAUGAAGGUCUUCGGAUCGUAAAACUCUGUUAUUAGGGAAGAACAUAUGUGUAAGUAACUGUGCACAUCUUGACGGUACCUAAUCAGAAAGCCACGGCUAACUACGUG
rnacentral:rRNA from 1 species